GAUGAACGCUGGCGGCGUGCUUAACACAUGCAAGUCGAACGAUGAAGCCCAGCUUGCUGGGUGGAUUAGUGGCGAACGGGUGAGUAACACGUGAGUAACCUGCCCUUUACUCUGGGAUAAGCCUGGGAAACUGGGUCUAAUACUGGAUAUGACUUCUCAUCGCAUGGUGGGGGGUGGAAAGAUUUAUUGGUCUUGGAUGGACUCGCGGCCUAUCAGCUUGUUGGUGAGGUAAUGGCUCACCAAGGCGACGACGGGUAGCCGGCCUGAGAGGGUGACCGGCCACACUGGGGCUGAGACACGGCCCAGACUCCUACGGGAGGCAGCAGUGGGGAAUAUUGCACAAUGGGCGCAAGCCUGAUGCAGCGACGCCGCGUGAGGGAUGACGGCCUUCGGGUUGUAAACCUCUUUCAGUAGGGAAGAAGCGAGAGUGACGGUACCUGCAGAAGAAGCGCCGGCUAACUACGUG
rnacentral:rRNA from 1 species